CGGGUUAGACCCGCAGCAGACGGGUGAGUAACGCGUAGGCAAUCUACCUUCAACAUGGUCAUAAUCCUUUGAAAAGAGGAAUAAUAACCAAUAGUCUCCAAAGGUGAAAUUCCAUUGGAGUAAAGAUUUAUCGGUUGAAGGGGAGCCUGCGUCCUAUCAGUUUGUUGGUAAGGUAACGGCUUACCAAGACUAUGACGGGUAGCUGGACUAAGAGGUUGACCAGCCACAAUGGGACUGAGAUACGGCCCAU
rnacentral:rRNA from 1 species